UACGUAGGGGGCAAGCGUUGUCCGGAUUUAUUGGGCGUAAAGAGCGUGUAGGCGGCCAAACAGGUCCACUUGUGAAAACUCGAGGCUCAACCUCGAGAGGUCGGUGGAAACCGUAUGGCUAGAGUCCGGAAGAGGAGAGUGGAAUCCCGGUGUAGCGGUGUAAAUGCGUAGAUAUCAGGAGGAACACCUGUGGUGUAGACAGCUUACUGGACCAUUUCUGACGCUGAGACACGAAAGCGUGGGUAGCAAACAGG
rnacentral:rRNA from 1 species